CCAUUUGAGUUCAGGACCUUGGACUUAAAAUUGGAAGGGUUUAGCUGGAGUACAGGAGAUGAUGGACCAUACAAUGCAUUGCAGAGACCAGAAGCCAAAAACAAGAUUGAUAGAGCUGUCAAAAAUGGAGAUGAUGUUCGGUGCAUUUUCCUUCUCUUUUCUCUCUCUAAAUGACAGAGCAGAACCUUUCUCCCGGGACAGAGAGAAGAAUGGAAGGAAGGAUAA
rnacentral:misc_RNA from 1 species